UAGGGAAUCUUCGGCAAUGGGGGCAACCCUGACCGAGCAACGCCGCGUGAGUGAAGAAGGUUUUCGGAUCGUAAAGCUCUGUUGUAAGAGAAGAACGUGUGUGAGAGUGGAAAGUUCACACAGUGACGGUAACUUACCAGAAAGGGACGGCUAACUACGUGCCAGCAGCCGCGGUAAUACGUAGGUCCCGAGCGUUGUCCGGAUUUAUUGGGCGUAAAGCGAGCGCAGGCGGUUUAAUAAGUCUGAAGUUAAAGGCAGUGGCUUAACCAUUGUUCGAUUUGGAAACUGUUAAACUUGAGUGAAGAAGGGGAGAGUGGAAUUCCAUGUGUAGAGGUGAAAUGCGUAGAUAUAUGGAGGAACACCGGUGGCGAAAGCGGCUCUCUGGUCUGUAACUGACGCUGAGGCUCGAAAGCGUGGGGAGCAAACAGG
rnacentral:rRNA from 1 species